rnacentral:sRNA from 1 species
GCACCUGCAAAAUCAGGGGCCGGGACUGCAAACCCGCCAGAGUUCACCGCGACAUAAUGACACGCCGCGAGCGUGUUUUUU